rnacentral:misc_RNA from 1 species
UUAAUACUAGUACCAAUC